GGAGGAAAAGAAACUAACAAGGAUUCCCCUAGUAACUGCGAGUGAAGCGGGAAAAGCUCAAAUUUGAAAUCUGGCAGUCUUUUUUUUCUUCUUUGGCUGUCCGAGUUGUAAUCUAGAGAAGUGCUUACCUGCACUGGACCAUGUAUAAGUCUCCUGGAAUGGAGCGUCACAGAGGGUGAGAAUCCCGUCUUUGACAUGGACUGCCAGUGUGUUGUGGUGUGCUCUCAAAGAGUCGAGUUGUUUGGGAAUGCAGCUCUAAAUGGGUGGUAAACUCCAUCUAAAGCUAAAUAUUGGCGAGAGACCGAUAGUGAACAAGUACCGUGAGGGAAAGAUGAAAAGGACUUUGGAAAGAGAGUUAAACAGUAUGUGAAAUUGUUGAAAGGGAAACGCUUGAAGUCAGUUAUGUUGGCUAGGGAUCAACCUAGCUAUUUUUGCUGGGUGAAUUUUCUAGUCUGACAGGCCAACAUCAGUCUUGACUGCUGGAAAAGAGCAGAGGGAAUGUGGCACCUUUGGGUGUGUUAUAGCCCUUUGUCAUAUGUAGCAGUUGGGACUGAGGGAUGCAGCGUGCCGCGAGGCUGGGUUUCGACCACGUUCACGCUUAGGAUGUUGGCUUUUAAUGGCUUCAAUCGAC
rnacentral:rRNA from 1 species